GUUGUUACAACAAUAGAAUAUCGUAGUUUGUUGAUAUAAUAUUUCGAAUCAGAGUGCACUAUCUUUUGUUUCGGAGAAUCGAGUUCCUAAUCUUUCAACGGUUUUUCACGAAAUUUUCAUAUCUCGUAAAGUUGCUGCGUAAUAGACGCUUGGUAAUUUUGAUUCGAUUAUAAUUGCUCGGUAUUCGUAAUACCGGGCUGUGAUUUUAUGGCGAAGACGACCUCGUCGCCGUGAGAGCCCAGAGCCUGUUGCACUUCGAUGGCAUACUAUACGUAUCGGUGCAACUAAUUUAACUGGCACGUGCAAUACUGCUGUGAACGAUUCCGUAGCUACUCAAACCGGAUUUCUGUUCACCACAUUUGAGCAGAAUUGAUAAAAGUUUUUACUACCUACAAUAAAGUCUCCUCGUCUGGCUGGUCACCAACCACAAGCAUAAAGUGAAAAAUCUCG
rnacentral:misc_RNA from 1 species